GAUGAACGCUGGCGGCGUGCCUAAUACAUGCAAGUCGAGCGAACAGACGAGUUUCUUGCUCCUCUCACGUUACCGGCGGACGGGUGAGUCACACGUGGAUAACCUUCCUAUUUGACUUGGAUAACUUCGGGAAACCCUAUCUAAUACCGGAUAAUCUUUUGAACCGCAUGGUUCUAUAGUGUAUGUCGGUUUUGCUGUCUCUUAUCGCUUGAUCCGCGCCUCAUUAGCUAGUUGGUAAGGUAACGGCUUACCAAGGCAACGAUGCGUAGCCGACCUGAGAGGGGGAACGGCGACAGUGGAACUGAGAGACGGACCAGACACCUACGGGAGGCAGCAGAAGGGAAGGUGGCGCAAAGGGGGAAAGCAUGACGGAGGAACGGCGCGUGAGUGAAGAAGGACGGCGGAUCGGAAAACGGUGUUAGUAGGGAAGAACAAAUGUGAAAGUAACGAAGCACGGAGUGACGGUAGCUAAUAAGAAAGCAACGGCUAACUACGUG
rnacentral:rRNA from 1 species